AGAUUGAACGCUGGCGGCAUGCCUUACACAUGCAAGUCGAACGGCAGCACGGGAGCAAUCCUGGUGGCGAGUGGCGAACGGGUGAGUAAUACAUCGGAACGUGCCCAAUCGUGGGGGAUAACGCAGCGAAAGCUGUGCUAAUACCGCAUAAGAUCGUACGGAUGAAAGCGAGGGGAUCGCAAGACCUUGCGCGAAUGGAGCGGCGAUGGCAGAUUAGGUAGUUGGUGAGGUAAGGCUCACCAAGCCUUACGAUCUGUAGCGUGGUCUGAGA
rnacentral:rRNA from 1 species